rnacentral:snRNA from 1 species
AUGCUCACUUCAGCAGCACAUACACGGAAAUGGUAACGAUAUGGAGAAGAUUAGCUUGGCCCCUGUGCAAGAAUGACAUACAAAUCCGUGAAAUAUUUCAUAUUUUU